AACGAACGCUGGCGGCAUGCCUAACACAUGCAAGUCGAACGAGAUCUUCGGGUCUAGUGGCGCACGGGUGCGUAACGCGUGGGAAUCUGCCCUUUGGUUCGGAAUAACAGUUGGAAACGACUGCUAAUACCGGAUGAUGACGAAAGUCCAAAGAUUUAUCGCCAGAGGAUGAGCCCGCGUAGGAUUAGCUAGUUGGUGUGGUAAAGGCGCACCAAGGCGACGAUCCUUAGCUGGUCUGAGAGGAUGAUCAGCCAGACUGGGACUGAGACACGGCACAGGGUACUACGGAAGGUAGCAGGGGGGAAUAUUGGACAAUGGGCGAAAUCAUGAUCCAGCAAUGCCGCGUGAGUGAUGAAGGCCUUAGGGUUGUAAAGCUCGUUUACCCGGGAUGAUAAUGACAGUACCGGGAGAAUAAGCUCCGGCUAACUCCGUGCCAGCCGCUGCCGUAA
rnacentral:rRNA from 1 species